CCGUUGCAAGGGACUCCGAAGAGCUGUGGCAAGGGGUGAAAAGCCAAUCUAACCUGGAGAUAGCUGGUCUUCUGCGAAACCCGUUUUAGCGGGUCGCCCAUUUAUUGAAAUUAAAUUCGUUACUAGACGGUACGGCACUGGAAGCCACGCAGCUUUUGCUGCAUAAUCGGGGGGCUGUCAUGGCUCUAUCGAUGGCUUCUAACCCCGGAAAUGUAUAGUAUACAAUGAUGGGCAAUCAGACGUAUCGUGAUAAGGCGAUUCGUCAAAAGGGCAACAGCCCAGAACAGGUGUGAAGGUCCCUAACAAGCUACUGAGUGAACACAAGGCAGUCCUCUCCAGUGUCUCUCCACAAAGUGGGCUUGGAAGCAGCCACCUUUUAGCGAUAGCGUAACAGCUCAGUGGUCUGAGCCUCCCUGUAAAAAGGGUAUAUUGCCUGGUGAGGGCGCCAAAAAUGUAACGGGUCUAUAGUAGUUGUCUCUCUGUUCCAGCUUUGGAUAUGGAGGGAGUGGCAGUUUCUUUACUGUCUCACCGAAACCCUGUCCUAGAUGUAAAAUUCUAGGGGUAGCAGAAUACCCAGCAAAUGGAAUGAAGCUUGCUCAUUGAGCCGGUGGACAUAGCUGGGCUAAGAAUGCUGACAUGAGUAGCCUAAAAGGAGGGUAAUUCCCUCUUCGCCGAAAGCAGAAGGGUUUCAUUUGUAAGGUCUAUACCUAGAUGAUUAAAGCAGCGGCCUCUAAGGUUCAGAGUAACAAAUUAGUUCCGAUGAGUAACUCUUCUAUAGGGCAGUAACCUUCCUUAUAAGUUUACCUUCAAGUAAUUAGAGGUAUACUUCAAAGAGUAAGGUUCGGGAAAGAGCCCUACAGAAUCAAUCUUAAAACCGUACCCUAAACCGACACAGGUCUGCAAGUAGAGCAUACUAAGGCGUAGAGAUAAUCGUCUUGAAGGAACUCGGCAAAAUGACCCCGUAACUUCGGGAGAAGGGGUGCCACUAAUAAGUGGCGGCACUAAACAGGGGGGCGCGACUGUUUACUUAAAA
rnacentral:rRNA from 1 species